CAUGGACUUCAUCUCGAAUUUUAUGGCCUCCAGCCAUUUCUAGAAGUCGGGCCUUUGCAUAGCCUCUAUAUAGGUGAUUGGAUCCUCAUCAUUCUCAUCAAGUUCAAUGGGAUCACCGUCUCGAACCAAAAAACUAUAGUAUCUGUCGGACUGACGUGGUACUCUACCAGAUUUCCUUAAUGGUGCCUCUACUGGCUCCAGAUUUGAUUCACC
rnacentral:lncRNA from 1 species